GCCAUGUCUUGGUUUAUGUGGGUUACACACUUACCAAUAUGUUCACCUCUUUGGGAUCAUCCAUCUUCAACACGUUUGCUUGAUGUGUCAUUAGAACAAUUUCAUGAUCACUCGAUUGAGAUCAUCUGUGGAGCAGUUUCACACCUAUUUACUCCUUAACCCCUUAAGGACCAAACUUCUGGAAUAAAAGGGAAUCAUGACAUGUCACACAUGUCAUGUGUCCUUAAGGGGUUAAAGGCAGAUUAUCAGAGAACAACAUAUACCGUGAGAGGGCUUUCUUUGAGAAAAACCCAGG